GACGAACGCUGGCGGCGUGCCUAAUACAUGCAAGUCGAACGCAGUGGGGACGGGUGAGUAACACGUGGGUAACCUCCCAUCAGUUGGGAUAACACUUGUAAACAGGUGCUAAACCGAUACUGACUGAUGGACCCGCUGUGCAGUAGCUAGUUGGUGAGGUAUCGGCUCACCAAGGCCACGAUGCAUAGCCAACCUGGUAGGGUGAUCGGCCGGAAGGGAAAAGAUACACGACCCGGACUCCUACGGGAGGCAGCAGUGAGGAACCUUCGGCAAAAGACGAAGUUCUGACCGAGCAACACCACGUGAGUGAAGAAGGUUAUCGGAUCGAGAAACUCUGUUGUGAGGGAGGCGGUAUCUAGCCAAAAAGCCACGGCUGACUACGUGCCAGCCGCCGCGGUAAUAC
rnacentral:rRNA from 1 species